GGAGGGGGGCUAUCUGCAGUCGAGCGGACGAAGGGAGCUUGCUCCCGGAUGUUAGCGGCGGACGGGUGAGUAACACGUGGGUAACCUGCCUGUAAGACUGGGAUAACUCCGGGAAACCGGAGCUAAUACCGGAUAGUUCCUUGAACCGCAUGGUUCAAGGAUGAAAGACGGUUUCGGCUGUCACUUACAGAUGGACCCGCGGCGCAUUAGCUAGUUGGUGGGGUAAUGGCUCACCAAGGCGACGAUGCGUAGCCGACCUGAGAGGGUGAUCGGCCACACUGGGACUGAGACACGGCCCAGACUCCUACGGGAGGCAGCAGUAGGGAAUCUUCCUAAAUGGACGAAAGUCUGACGGAGCAACGCCGCGUGAGUGAUGAAGGUUUUCGGAUCGUAAAGCUCUGUUGUUAGGGAAGACUCAGUGAGAAAAUUACUCCUCCCACCUUG
rnacentral:rRNA from 1 species